GUACAGUCCAUCUUGGAGCCUACGUGUGGUGACCUCUCUGAAGGUCCAAUGAUCGGUCUCCUCAUCCCGAGGAGUCUUGAAUCGGUAGUAUGACUACAAAUAAAAGAUGACAUAUAUUAAUAAAUAGAAUACAAAUAUACCAUGAAUUUAAAAAUUAAAAAUUUUUGACUUACCAUGAACAUCUCCCAUGCAGCAUCACGAGCCCCUAAUGGCCAACUAGAGAACUCAUUCACCGACCCCAGCAUCA
rnacentral:lncRNA from 1 species